rnacentral:rRNA from 1 species
AGAGUUUGAUCCUGGCUCAGGACGAACGCUGGCGGCGUGCCUAACACAUGCAAGUCGAGCGGGGACUUGUUGAGGAAGUCUUCGGAUGGAAUCGAUAAGUUCUAGCGGCGGACGGGUGAGUAACGCGUGAGCAACCUGCCCUCCACAGGGGGAUAACGCACCGAAAGGUGCACUAGUACCGCAUAAGACCACGUUUCUGACAUGGGGAUGAGGUCAAAGGAGCAAUCCGGUGGAAGAUGGGCUCGCGUCUGAUUAGCUAGUUGGUGAGGUAACGGCCCACCAAGGCGACGAUCAGUAGCCGACCUGAGAGGGUGAUCGGCCACAUUGGAACUGAGAGACGGUCCAAACUCCUACGGGAGGCAGCAGUGGGGAAUAUUGGGCAAUGGGCGAAAGCCUGACCCAGCAACGCCGCGUGAAGGAAGAAGGUUUUCGGAUCGUAAACUUCUAUCCUUGGUGAAGAUAAUGACGGUAGCCAAGAAGGAAGCCCCGGCUAACUACGUGCCAGCAGCCGCGGUAAUACGUAGGGGGCAAGCGUUGUCCGGAAUGAUUGGGCGUAAAGGGCGCGUAGGCGGCCAACUAAGUCUGGAGUGAAAGUCCUGCUUUUAAGGUGGGAAUUGCUUUGGAAACUGGAUGGCUUGAGUGCAGGAGAGGUAAGCGGAAUUCCCGGUGUAGCGGUGAAAUGCGUAGAGAUCGGGAGGAACACCAGUGGCGAAGGCGGCUUACUGGACUGUAACUGACGCUGAGGCGCGAAAGUGUGGGGAGCAAACAGGAUUAGAUACCCUGGUAGUCCACACUGUAAACGAUGAAUGCUAGGUGUAGGGGGUAUCGACCCCUUCUGUGCCGGAGUAAACACAAUAAGCAUUCCGCCUGGGGAGUACGGCCGCAAGGUUGAAACUCAAAGGAAUUGACGGGGGCCCGCACAAGCAGAGGAACAUGUGGUUUAAUUCGAUGAUACGCGAGGAACCUUACCCGGGCUUAAAUUGCAGAUGAAUUACGGUGAAAGCCGUAAGCCGCAAGGCAUCUGUGAAGGUGCUGCAUGGUUGUCGUCAGCUCGUGCCGUGAGGUGUCGGCUUAAGUGCCAUAACGAGCGCAACCCUUGUUGUCAGUUACUAACAGGUUUUGCUGAGGACUCUGACAAGACUGCCAUCGUAAGAUGUGAGGAAGGUGGGGAUGACGUCAAAUCAGCACGGCCCUUACGUCCGGGGCUACACACGUGUUACAAUGGGGGGUACAGAGGGCCGCUACCACGCGAGUGGAUGCCAAUCCCC